CGAGGGGUAGAGGAAGCUUGCUUCCUUGAGACCGGCGCACGGGUGCGUAACGCGUAUGCAAUCUACCUUUUACAGGGGAAUAGCCCAGAGAAAUUUGGAUUAAUGCCCCAUAGUGUAAUUGAAUGGCAUCAUUUGAUUACUAAAGUUCCAACGGUAAAAGAUGAGCAUGCGUCCUAUUAGCUAGUUGGUGUGGUAACGGCACACCAAGGCAACGAUAGGUAGGGGUCCUGAGAGGGAGAUCCCCCACACUGGUACUGAGACACGGACCAGACUCCUACGGGAGGCAGCAGUGAGGAAUAUUGGACAAUGGGCGCAAGCCUGAUCCAGCCAUGCCGCGUGCAGGAAGAAGCAUCUAUGGUGUGUAAACUGCUUUUGUACGGGAAGAAACACUCCUACGUGUGGGAGCUUGACGGUACCGUAAGAAUAAGGAUCGGCUAACUCCGUGCCAGCAGCCGCGGUAAUACGGAGGAUCCAAGCGUUAUCCGGAAUCAUUGGGUUUAAAGGGUCCGUAGGCGGUUUAAUAAGUCAGUGGUGAAAUCUGGUCGCUCAACGAUCAAACGGCCAUUGAUACUGUUAGACUUGAAUUACUAGGAAGUAACU
rnacentral:rRNA from 1 species